rnacentral:rRNA from 1 species
UACGGAGGGGACUAGCGUUGUUCGGAAUUACUGGGCGUAAAGCGCACGUAGGCGGAUUUGUAAGUUAGGGGUGAAAUCCCGGGGCUCAACCUCGGAACUGCCUUUGAUACUGCAAAUCUCGAGUCCGGAAGAGGUGAGUGGAAUUCCUAGUGUAGAGGUGAAAUUCGUAGAUAUUAGGAAGAACACCAGUGGCGAAGGCGGCUCACUGGUCCGGUACUGACGCUGAGGUGCGAAAGCUGGGGGAGCGAACAGG